rnacentral:rRNA from 1 species
UAUCUCUGUAGAGUCUGCAUAUCAAUAAGCGGAGGAAAAGAAACUAACAAGGAUUCCCUUAGUAACGGCGAGUGAAGCGGGAAGAGCUCAAAUUUGAAAUCUUCAAGGUUCUACCUUGACGAAUUGUAGUUUAAAGAAGUGUUUUCUGUUAGAUGAGUAGCAAAAGUUCCUUGGAAUGGGACAUCAUAGAGGGUGAGAAUCCCGUAUUUGGUUAUUCAUUCUAGCUUUGUGAUACACUUUCAAAGAGUCGGAUUGUUUGGGAAUGCAGUCCAAAAUGGGUGGUAAAUUUCAUCUAAAGCUAAAUAUUGGCGAGAGACCGAUAGCGAACAAGUACCGUGAGGGAAAGAUGAAAAGAACUUUGAAAAGAGAGUUAAACAGUACGUGAAAUUGUCAAAAGGGAAGCGUUUGACACCAGUGUUGUUUUUCUCGAAAAUCAAUUACGAAUGGCUUGAUUCUGUGUUGUAUUGACCUUAUCAGCUUUCUUCACUUUUUUCGAGUCUUUCUUAAUGCACUUUUCGGUUAACAAGUCAACAUCAAUUUCUUUUGUUGUAAAAGAGUAUUCGGAAGGUGGCUUUCUUUUCGGAGGAAGUGUAUAUAGCCCUAUACUUCUACAAUCGGAGAGAUUGAGGUCUGCAGCGUAGAUCCUUCGGGGUUAGAUACACUUUGUGCUAAGUUGUAGCUUUUCAUAGACAACUUGUUGACUAUGUUUAGUCAUGCGGCUUACUCGCUUGUGCUAUUUUACCUACGCUUAGGAUGUUGACUGAUAUGUAGUCGU